rnacentral:rRNA from 1 species
UGGGGAAUUUUGGACAAUGGGCGAAAGCCUGAUCCAGCAAUGCCGCGUGUGUGAAGAAGGCCUUCGGGUUGUAAAGCACUUUUGUCCGGAAAGAAAUCCUUGGCUCUAAUACAGUCGGGGGAUGACGGUACCGGAAGAGUAAGCACCGGCUAACUACGUGCCAGCAGCCGCGGUAAUACGUAGGGUGCAAGCGUUAAUCGGAAUUACUGGGCGUAAAGCGUGCGCAGGCGGUUUGCUAAGACCGAUGUGAAAUCCCCGGGCUCAACCUGGGAACUGCAUUGGUGACUGGCAGGCUAGAGUAUGGCAGAGGGGGGUAGAAUUCCACGUGUAGCAGUGAAAUGCGUAGAGAUGUGGAGGAAUACCGAUGGCGAAGGCAGCCCCCUGGGCCAAUACUGACGCUCAUGCACGAAAGCGUGGGGAGCAAACAGGAUUAGAUACCCUGGUAGUCCACGCCCUAAACGAUGUCAACUAGUUGUUGGGGAUUCAUUUCCUUAGUAACGUAGCUAACGCGUGAAGUUGACCGCCUGGGGAGUACGGUCGCAANAUUAAAAGCUCAAAUGAUUUGACGGGGGUGCAUAGCAUGUUUUUCCC